UCCCUGGUGGCCUAGUGGUUAAGGAUUCAGUGUUGUUACUAUUGUGGCUCAGGUUCCAUCCCUGACCUGGGAA
rfam:Sus scrofa chromosome 2.